AUCUGCUCCUUCCUUUAUGUAUAUUUUAUUCAUUUUGUCAGUUCUUGGUAAAUUCUACCAAAGUAACUUGAAACCACAUUGUUCACUCCUCGCGAGUAGCACUUUGAUUGGACACAAAAUUUAAAAAAGAAUUAAACAUUUUUGAAACUGAUGGUCUAAAAUAAUUCAUACGUAUUUAUGUGGCCCUGUAUCAUCUCGUAAAAUAAAAAACUUUAAAAUAAAAUUAUUUCUAAAUAUAGAAAGUGUGCAUUGAAACAAAAUGUGAAAUACAAAACAAGGGGAAAGUACAGAGUUUGCGUCUAAUUUUGUUCUGAAACUGAUUUUAAGAGCGUGGUCUCGCAAUUAAAGUUAUAUAUACACGCUGAAGAUAGUGAAGUUGGUGAAGCCCACCGGAGACUCGCCGGAAUUUUUCCGGAGAAGUGAUUGUAAGAGAGAUUGAGCUCAAAGAGGUUCGAGAUGUUUCUCUGUACGCCGCCGGAGAACAAAUUUGCCGGUGAUUUGUCCAUAUAGCUGGUUGCCGGAACCAUAAAAGAUUUGUCAAGUUCGAGAUUUCCGGCUGAAUUUGGCCGGAAAAUCCACCUUUCUUUCAAUCUCAUUUCUUUCUUAAGGUUUCACUCUCUCAAUUAUCAAAAUCCAACCAAAUAAACGCUGAAUCGAUAAUUUAGGAUUUGAAAUUUGGUACAUUUGUUCCAUUAUAUUAGUGAAAUUAUUUACCAGUAGGUAAUUUUGAUCC